GGCACGGUGGCAGAGCGGUUAAUGCGUAUGCCUAGAAGCGCUUAGUCAGCGAUCAGUCAGCAUAUCCCUUCGGGGUCGCAGGUUCGAGUCCUGCCCGUGUCG